UUCACUUUGUUUUAGAAAUAUGUUAUGCUUAUCUUACAGAAAGUUUAUUUAUGUGGAAAUAAAAUUUUAAUUGUUGUAAAAUUAGAAAAGGCCAAAGUCUAAAAUUCCCAGCACUUUCAAAUCGCAAUUUUGUUUGAAAGUAUCAAUAAAUACACGUUGAAUGGCCGAUAGUAAUACCAGACUGAGAACAAUUCAACGACACGUUAGUAUACAUAUCAUAUAGUAUUUAGUUAGAUAGGGCGGACAGAGGGCAGAAACAAAAUCAGAAUAAAAAUCGGAGGGACUUUAACCUUUUGCGCAAUGGACAACCAAGCUUUAUCACGACUGAACUGAACUUUGGAGCUGAUACUACGUAAGAACUUUGCAUAAUUUUUGAGGCAGAUCUAUGUAUGAACUUAUAUAUGUACGUAUGUUCAUAUGUAUAUUUGGAAUACCGGCUAGUUAGUCAUGCUUACCACUUCCAUGCUGAUUAUUUAUUCGUAAAUGCCACUCGAAAGCGAAAUACGGCGCAGAGAGAAAAAGAAACGCCGCCAAAAACGCGUCAAAUGCGAAAAUGAAGAUGAAAGCGAACAGUGCUAAAAGUUAAGUUCCAAUGGAAAAUUUGUUUUGUAAUGUUGUUUACACGCUAGCUGUUGCUCUUGUUGUAAUUAUCUAGCGACGCGUUACUGACACUGACCGAUUAAAUAAGAUGAGAAGAGGCCUUACAAUGUAUUGUGUAUUUGCAAUUUGCACGCGUAGUUCGAAAUUGCAAAUGUUACCGCACUCGAAAAUGCAGCCAAAAACAAAACUCAAAACGAAAGCGAAAACAAAACAUAAAGACACAAAAUAGAAAGUUGUUCACGUUGCUGGCCACAAGUUCUGUGUCUACGUCUGUCUCUUGUUGUUGUUUGCCUGUUGACCGAUUCUCAAAAAGCUAAAUACACGCGUCACCCACACGGCGCACGAACGAAGCAAGCGAGAUGUGAUGA